UGAUGGCGAGUGGCGAACGGGUGAGUAAUGCAUCGGAACGUGCCCAAUCGUGGGGGAUAACGCAGCGAAAGCUGUGCUAAUACCGCAUACGAUCUACGGAUGAAAGCGGGGGACCUUCGGGCCUCGCGCGAUUGGAGCGGCCGAUAUCAGAUUAGGUUGUUGGUGAGGUAAAAGCUCACCAAGCCGACGAUCUGUAGCUGGUCUGAGAGGACGACCAGCCACACUGGAACUGAGACACGGCCCAGACUCC
rnacentral:rRNA from 1 species